UACGUAUGGGGCGAGCGUUGUCCGGAAUUAUUGGGCGUAAAGGGUACGUAGGCGGUUAGAAAAGUUAGAAGUGAAAGGCUAUAGCUCAACUAUAGUAAGCUUUUAAAACUGUUUAACUUGAGAGAUGGAAGGGAAAGUGGAAUUCCUAGUGUAGCGGUGAAAUGCGCAGAUAUUAGGAGGAAUACCGGUGGCGAAGGCGACUUACUGGACUUCAACUGACGCUGAGGAACGAAAGCAUGGGUAGCAAACAGG
rnacentral:rRNA from 1 species